GGCUGGUCGGAUGGUGGUGGGUUAUCAGAGCUUAUUAUUAGUGUCACUAAAGUUGGUGUUCAACCCCCCAUUGCUAAAUUUGACUGCCUUCA
ensembl:misc_RNA Y_RNA Y RNA